GUGGGGGUCAGAGACAGAGGAGGAAAGAAGGGAUGGGAGAGACACAGAGAAAGGUAAAGAGCGUGACGGAGGGAGGAGGAAGCCCAGAGAGGCAGGAACUUGGGGUCUGCACUGGGCAGGUGGUGAAGGCCCCCAAAAGGUCUGGACUCGGGGGGAUAGGGGUGCUCAGGCAGGGACCCCCUCCCUGAGGGAGACACGUUGGUGCUGAGAGACAGGGUCAGGGACCUGUCAAGGAAACACUGGUCCCCACUGGCAGAAACUGCAGUGAGAACAGAGAGCAGAGGGACACACAUGGCAAGAUGGGAAGAGCAGGGAGGAGGGCUGGGGGAGAGAAGGAGGGGUGCGGCUUCAGGCAAGGGGGUGUGUUGGCGAGGGUGACCCAGGCCCAGAGCUUGGUGCACGGCAGCUUUUCAGACAGAACUAGAGAAGGGACUGGCAAGUAGGGAGAAAGAGGAACAGGAGGAGGAGCACACUAGAAUUACCUGAUCAAGUGAUAGCUGUGAGGUGCCAGAGUGCAGCAGAGGGGGGGAGGGGAGAGAGGAGGGACAUGCGCCGGAUCAGAGCAGGAUGGGACAGAGAGAGAACAUCAGUCAAGAAUAAAACCCAGCCCCUUGGUUCCUGGCUGGGCUGGGCCCCCAGGUUGGCCCUAAACCCUCCCCUGGACCCCACCCCACCCACAUCCCAGCUGCCGCCCUGAGGGGUAGGUGGGGAGGCUUUCCACCUGGCACAGGCAAGGCCUCGGUGCUGCUGGGAACCUGUGCCCCAGCUAACAGGGGCAGGCUAGCCGCAGAGGGGCCAAAGUCCACACAGCGAAUCAGGACAGAGCUUGGCUCUGGGCUCCUAGCUGGGCGCUCAUUCCAGAAGGCACCCAGCCUCUGCUGGAAGAAGGCAAGGCUGGGGGAUCCCGGGGACUCCCAUCUUCUCUCCUGGUCAGGCUUCCCGGUUGGCCUGCCGAGGGCUCAGGCCUCAUGCCACCAACUUUCCCUGGAGGAAGGAAUGUCCACACCAGGACCCAGCUCCCAGUCCAACCCAGCUCUGCUUGCUGCUCACAACAUCUCUGAACCACAUGUGCAGAACCCCUGUGUGCCCUGCCCUCUGUCCAGCAGUGAGAGGAGUGUCAAGACUAGGGGAGACUCAGUCCCACCCCUGGGCCAGGUGGGGCAAGCACCUGAGCUCCUGGCGGGACACCUGAGUGUAGCGCAGGUUCAGCCGCUGUAUGUGGCCCCUCCGCAGACUGGCGACAGCCUCCUUGGAGCCUGAAGUUUGCUGGAAGCCGGGAGCCACCUUCUGCACGAGGGGCCUUUGCCUGUUUGGCAGCCACAUGACCUACAGGCAAGAGGGCGGGCAGCCUCAGCGUUUUCUUCUGCAAACUCUGGUGACCUGGGCAGCCCUUCACUGACGUAACUGGAGAUCCUGGACCCACUCCUGCCCACUGAACAUCUGAAAGGACUUUCUGGUUCCCUUCUGCUCCCCGCGAGGACCCUGGCAAGGAGGCAAGGGGCCUAAGACCCCAUUUUACAAAUGUGAAACCUGAAGUCUAGAGGGAACAGCAACCAAGUGUGGAGAGCCCUGGGCUUCGGGAGUCCGCUGGUGUCCGUCAGGUGAAGUGGUGCUGCGGCCUCCCAGAGCCUCCCGCCCUUACCCUCUACCCAACUCCGCUUCCAGAGGGAAUGGUUUUCCCAGAGCACCUCCACCCCAGCCCAUUCUCCUCUAGCCUCUCAGACCGGACAAUCGACCUCCCUCCAGAGUGUCCCAGAGUGAACCGUUCUGCUGUCAGCACCCCCAUCAGCUUGUCCCAGCCAGGGAGGCAGAUCCAGAUCAAGCAGUGACAACCAUGAGGUCUGGCUGCUGCGGAACCCGGAGAGGCCACUAACCAGCCUGGCCUCAUGACCCGAGUUGAUGGCCACCUGCCUCUCUCACUGUGUGGGAUCCCUGUCUAAGACUGGGGUCUGACCUUCAGGAACCACUGCCCGGCGUUGAGCCUCUGCAGGACGGUCCAGUUGAGCAUGGAGGCGGGCCUGUGGGCGAGCUCCGGGAAUGCCUGCUCCACGUUGGUGGUGCGCCGCAGCGUGGUGUCGUGCAUGAGGAAGGGCACACCGUCCAGGCUGUGGGGAGGGGGCACCGAGUCACCACCCAACCAAGUCACCUGCCAUCCACAAUCAGCCCCUGUCACACACUGCUCCCCAACCACCAUGGGGCCUGAACUGGCUCUGCCCCUCUCUGAGCCUCAGUCUCCCUACUGAAUAGUGGACAGGGGGCUGGUAGGUGACCCUGAAGGGCCAAUACCCUCCACUCUGUGUGCGGGUCAGGUGGGGUGAGAACUGCCAGGGAGGGAGGGUAGGAAAAGGCUGGGACCAUUAUCAUCUGUGAAGAUAGGUGCUAGGUCACUCAAUAAUGGAGAAACUGAGACGAAGAGAGGAAAGUAUCUAGCUCAAGGUUGACUGCCAGGAAGUAGUAGAACAUGUCUUGGGACCAAGUCCAUUGAUCAUAAUGAGAACAGUGCAAAUGUAGGCCUCUUUUACAAAUCUCACCCCAUCUCCACCUUAUCUCCCCGACCAGGGCUGCCAAGAGCUAACCCAGUGCACCUGUGCCCUGCCCCCACUCCUCAAGGCAUGUCACCACCACAUGCUAGAAACAUAUGAUAAAUAGUUUUACAAUGUCCACUCUGGGAAAGGUGACCUCACAUAUAUGGUGUCCUUGUUAUGACCAGUAUGACUCUAUAUGGCAGCCCCACCCAUCUUCCCCUCUCAGAGGUGAUCUCUAUUAUAAGAUUGGGGUGGAUUCCUCCUCCCCUUUAUACUAAUACAUAUUUCAAUAUCUAUAGCUAUAAAAUGUACCUAUCACCUUUGUGUGGUCCCUUAAAAUAUAACUGGCAUCACAGUAAUAGUAUUGUCUCCCCGCCCAGUUAACUUCACUUAUCUGAGCAUUUGAGCCCUCCCAUGAAGCCGCGACACGGAGCUGGCUUCUCUUCAGGUGGAUCUGUGCCUCCAGGUCCUUACCCUUCACUCUGCCUGACCAAGAGAGUCUGCUCUCUUCUCUCUUAUACCCUGGAGUUUGGCACAAGAUUCACUGGCAUGGAAAGGGUGCCUCCCUGCUGCGGAUGAUCCCAGAUGACUCCCAUCUCCACAGCUUUGGGGCCAGAGGUUCCACCAGCAGAGACCCUGUGGAGGAGAGGUGCCCUCCUCCCUUCCUGACACCUACCUGACAGUGACGUCAGCCUGGAGCCCAUACAGCUUCUGCUCUAGUGCCUUCCGGAAGGACAUCAGUGUGUGCUCUGGGGCCAGCUGGAGAGGAAGGCAUGACAGGAUCUCAUUGAGCUUCCCAGGCUGGCCUCCUCCUGCCUCAGCCUCCUGAGUCACCGGGAUUACAGGCACGCUCACUAUCUCCAUGGCACAGGAUGGGGGAGCAGGAACAGAGAAGAUGGAAAACCCCAGGCUCCCACAGCUGGCCAGGGCUGGGCCUGGCUUCCUGCCCAGAUAGCAUGGCUCUGGAACUCUCAACCUCAGUACUCCUGCAGAGGUGUGGGGCACCUUAGUGGCAAAAUAGGGUUCGACUUUGAUUUCAUCCUCUUUCCAAUUCAGUCUGCUCCAACAGCCUUCCCUUCCAUGGUGGGCUCUGAGCUGCCCCUCAGCUUUGCUGCCCCACAGCCUGGUGGGUUCUCCUGCUGCCUGGUUGCAGUCCCAGGCCCCUCACCCAGCAGCUUUCUUCUGGGCCUUUCUAACUGAAAAUUGGCAGUGCUGUGCCUGGGCCUGAAACCUCCUGCAUCUCUGCAGGACCCUCAGAAUAAAAGUGAAAUCUUUUUAGUAAGAUGCCUUCAGGGCUCUUCAGGAUCUGGGCCCACAUCAGCUCUCCUGGCCUUUGCCACAGCCUUCCCCACACACCUCCCCCAAAGAGCUAAGCUUGUCCCUAUUAUUAGACUGCAUAUAUCAUAUCCAUUUCCCAACAGAUUCCUCCUCUGGAAUGGCAGCGGCACCCACCCCUCUCCCAGUCUCUUAGGACCCUAAGAUGGCACUCACCAUU